AUUGAACGCUGGCGGCAUGCCUUACACAUGCAAGUCGAACGGUAACGCGGGGCAACCUGGCGACGAGUGGCGAACGGAUGAGUAAUGCAUCGGAACGUGCCCAGUAGUGGGGGAUAGCCCGGCGAAAGCCGGAUUAAUACCGCAUACGACCUACGGGUGAAAGCGGGGGAUCGCAAGACCUCGCGCUAUUGGAGCGGCCGAUGUCAGAUUAGGUAGUUGGUGGGGUAAAGGCCUACCAAGCCUACGAUCUGUAGCUGGUCUGAGAGGACGACCAGCCACACUGGGACUGAGACACGGCCCAGACUCCUACGGGAGGCAGCAGUGGGGAAUUUUGGACAAUGGGGGCAACCCUGAUCCAGCCAUGCCGCGUGCGGGAAGAAGGCCUUCGGGUUGUAAACCGCUUUUGUCGGGGAAGAAAUCCUCCGGGCUAAUACCCCGGGGGGAUGACGGUACCCGGAGAAUAAGCACCGGCUAACUACGUGCCAGCCGCCGCGGUAAUAC
rnacentral:rRNA from 1 species